rnacentral:rRNA from 1 species
AGUACGAAAGGACCAAAAAGACGACACCUCUACCCACCGCACGUGCCGCCCGAAACACUGAAGACACUCAAAUUAACUUACCCAUCACCCCGCCCAAGACAAGGGCAUU